GAAUCUGGCUCUAGGUUCGGGACAACCACUGGAAACGGUGGCUAAUACCGGGUAUGCCGAGAGGUGAAAGGUUAACUGCCUGGAGAUGAGCUCGCGUCUGAUUAGCUAGUUGGUGGUGUAAGGGACUACCAAGGCGACGAUCAGUAGCUGGUCUGAGAGGAUGAUCAGCCACACUGGAACUGAGACACGGUCCAGACUCCUACGGGAGGCAGCAGUGGGGAAUUUUCCGCAAUGGGCGAAAGCCUGACGGAGCAAUACCGCGUGAGGGAGGAAGGCUCUUGGGUUGUAAACCUCUUUUCUCAGGGAAUAAGCAAGUGAAGGUACCUGAGGAAUCAGCAUCGGCUAACUCCGUGCCAGCAGCCGCGGUAAUACGGAGGAUGCAAGCGUUAUCCGGAAUGAUUGGGCGUAAAGCGUCCGUAGGUGGCUGUGUGUGUCUAUUGUUAAAGAGUUUGGCUCAACCAAAUAAGGGCGGUAGAAACUACACAGCUAGAGUGCGUUCGGGGCAGAGGGAAUUCCUGGUGUAGCGGUGAAAUGCGUAGAGAUCAGGAAGAACACCGGUGGCGAAAGCGCUCUGCUAGGCCGCAACUGACACUGAGGGACGAAAGCUAGGGGAGCG
rnacentral:rRNA from 1 species